GGGAGUUUACCUCAGCUGGGAGAGCAUCUGCCUUACAAGCAGAAGGUCAGCGGUUCGAUGCCGGUGACUCCCA
rnacentral:tRNA from 1 species